GACGAGCCUUGCUAACGUUAUUCGGAAUUACUGGGCUUAAAGGGUGCGUAGGCUGUGCAGAAAGUUGGGUGUGAAAUCCCCCGGCUCAACCGGGGAAUUGCGCUCAAAACUACUGUGCUAGAGGAAGACAGAGGUCGGCGGAACUUCGGGUGGAGCGGUGAAAUGCGUUGAUAUCCGAAGGAACACCGGUGGCGAAAGCGGCCGACUGGGUCUUAUCUGACGCUGAUGCAAGAAAGCUAGGGUAGCGAACGGG
rnacentral:rRNA from 1 species